rnacentral:snRNA from 1 species
AUACUUACCUGACAUGGACACCCCAUGAUCAGGAAGGUCAUUUUCCCAGGGCCAGCCUUAGAUAUGGCCCUCUAGAUGGGGCUGAUGCCUGUGAUCCCCAAAGUGUGAGAAACUCGAUUGCAUAAUUUGUGGUAGUUGGGAAGACUGGUGUUCACACUCCCCUCCCUC